GUGGCUCUAGCGCCGGAGGUCACAAGACUGGGCAUCAAGUCACUGGCAGAGGGAGGGGCCCGGGCAUGCUUUGUGCCCACUCUAGCACCAUUCUAGGUCGGCAUCAACUCAGUGGCAGUGAGACUGGUUAACAUGUGGAGCCACAAUGAGUCAACUCACUCCACGGCUUGAUGGCAACAGGUUUGGAGGUCUGCUACUAAUCCGUUUUCAGUCAUACUCACAAAGAAGAAUGGUGUCCCAUGAAAAAGCUGCCAGUUCAGUUUGCAAUUCAGCUUUGCUCCAACGCCUUUUCCGCAAGAGACAACCGUUGUGCUUGAGUGUGCUGAAGUGUUUUAUGCAUGGAGCCAUUUUGUCCCAGAAAAUAGGAAGAUGUGAGCCGAGG